CGAGUGAAGAGGGAAAAGCUCAAAUUUUGAAUCUGGUGCUUUUGGCUCCGAGUUGUAAUCUAGAGAAGUGUUUUCUGCCUUGGACCACACAUAAGUUCCCUGGAAUGGGGUGUCAGAGAGGGUGAGAAUCCCGUUUGUGGUGUGGACUACCUUGGCUCUGUGAUACACUCUCAACGAGUCGAGUUGUUUGGGAAUGCAGCUCAAAAUGGGUGGUAAAUUCCAUCUAAAGCUAAAUAUUGGCGAGAGACCGAUAGCGAACAAGUACCGUGAGGGAAAGAUGAAAAGCACUUUGGAAAGAGAGUGAAACAGUACGUGAAAUUGUUGAAAGGGAAGCGUUUGAAGUCAGUCACAUUGGUCGGAAUUCAGCCUGGCUUAUGCCUGGUGUACUUUCUGGCAAAUGGGUCAGCAUCAAUUUUGAUCGAGGGAAAAAGACUUGAGGAAGGUGGCUGUCUUUGGGCAGUGUUAUAGCCUCUUGUUGUAUGUCUCGGUUGGGAUUGAGGAUUGCAGCACGCCUUAUGGCCGGGGUUCGCGCCCUCGGUACGUGCUUAGGAUGCUGGCA
rnacentral:rRNA from 1 species